CCCUGCAAGUCGCGGGGCAGCAUGAAGGAUGCUUGCCUCCUUUGAUGGCGACCGGCGCACGGGUGAGUAACGCGUAUCCCACCUGCCUGUUACCCCGGCACAGCCCGUCCAAAGGCGGAUUAAUGCCCUAUGUGGUCCUAAGCGGGCAUCUAAUUAGGACUAAAGGAUUGGCGGUAACGGAUGGAGAUGCGUCCGAUUAGCUUGACGGCGGGGUAACGGCCCACCGUGGCCACGAUCGGUAGGGGUUCUGAGAGGAAGGUCCCCCACAUUGGAACUGAGACACGGUCCAAACUCCUACGGGAGGCAGCAGUGAGGAAUAUUGGUCAAUGGGCGAGAGCCUGAACCAGCCAAGUAGCGUGAGGGAAGACUGCCCCUAUGGGUUGUAAACCUCUUUUGUGCGGGGAUAAAGUGAGGGACGUGUCCCUCAUUGCAGGUACCGCACGAAUAAGGACCGGCUAAUUCCGU
rnacentral:rRNA from 1 species